rnacentral:rRNA from 1 species
UAAAACUUUCAACAACGGAUCUCUUGGCUCUGGCAUCGAUGAAGAACGCAGCGAAAUGCGAUAAGUAAUGUGAAUUGCAGAAUUUAGUGAAUCAUCGAAUCUUUGAACGCACAUUGCGCCCCUUGGUAUUCCGAGGGGCAUGCCUGUUCGAGCGUC